rnacentral:rRNA from 1 species
GUAGGGGGCAAGCGUUAUCCGGAAUCACUGGGUGUAAAGGGAGCGUAGACGGCUGAGCAAGCCUGAAGUGAAAGGCGGGGGCCCAACCCCCCGGACUGCUUUGGGAACUGUACGGCUGGAGUGCAGGAGAGGUAAGUGGAAUUCCUAGUGUAGCGGUGAAAUGCGUAGAUAUUAGGAGGAACACCAGUGGCGAAGGCGGCUUACUGGACUGUAACUGACGUUGAGGCUCGAAAGCGUGGGGAGCAAA